AUAGAGCAGGUAAUUGCCGGAAGAUAUCCACAGUCUAGGGACGAUGCUGCUGGCUCUGUAACUGUUACUUUUGGAGGUCUCUACGCCAAAGAGGUGCGCAAGGUCAUAGUGGACCUUCUUCUUCCGGCUGUUGAUCAGGAACGGGGCGCAGAUGUUCUCGAAAUUACUUACUCAUAUAGCUUUCAGGGAAAACCGUUUGAAGCCAACCCUGCGAUCCUCACUGUACGCCGCACCGGGAAAGCCGCAGAUCAAGAAGAAAGGCCAGAGGUGAAGAAUGAGGAGACCCGUCUCCUGACUGCAAG
rnacentral:misc_RNA from 1 species